GUGGCGGCGGCGGCGGCGGCGGUGGUGGUUACAACCGCAGCAGUGGUGGCUAUGAACCCAGAGGUCGUGGAGGUGGCCGUGGAGGCAGAGGUGGCAUGGGGUAGGUGUCUCAUGAGCCAGGGAGUAUCUUUGGUGGGGAGUGUGGAGGAUUGCAUGAAUCUCCCUGAAGCCAGUCCCUAGUGCAUGGUUUAGUAUUCUUGUUGUCUAGGGAUCUGUGAGGGCUUUGAUUUGGGGGCAGUGACUUUCUUUUUACAUCCCCAUUUUAUUUUUGUGAGAACUUGGGAGCCUGAACUCCCAUCCAUACCACUGAAUAGAGAUUUUGAGUAAUGAUACUUGUUUCCAAAAAAAAAGAAACCAUACAUAGAUACGUAUGGAUUGGAGUCAUUAAUAUCCUAGGCAAGAAACAUGGAAGUGAAGACUUCUUUCUCUGCAAGGGAAACCGAUGAUCCCACUCCUGGGAAAUAGUAGGGAAACUUGCGGAAGUGACCGUGGUGGCUUCAAUAAAUUUGGUGGUAAGUGAACAGAGUUUCCAAAAUUCCCAACUCCCAGCAAUGCUUUGUCUGAUUGUUCAUUUGCAGAUGUCUUAGCGUGUUAAUUUAAAUGUCAAAGGUUUUGAGGUGUCCAGAACCACCUCCAGAAAGGGGUAGGGUAGAAUGCCACCUGUUGCCUGGUGUGUGCUAACCUGGAGCAGGUAGGGGUAAGACUCAAUAGUCAUCUUUUACCAAAUGGGUUUGCCCCAGGUUAAUAAGAGGGGUCUAGUAGGCCUUGGACUGGGCCGUUGCCACACCUGGCACUUAGUGACCAUCAUCAUGAGAAACUGGAGAGUGCGUGCUGGAACACGUGGUGCCAUCUUGGCUUUAGGAUCCUUUUGAUCGUUGUGUCCAAGGCUUGUGUGUGUGUGAGUGUGUGGGAGACAACUCCGAAUGUUUAAUUCUGGAAGAGGGAUGUAACAUUGCCCUGAGGAUGGUGAAGUUGGUAUACAUUUAUAAAGUACGGAAUGGUGUCAAUGAAUGCAAUUCUAUGUAUAUGGACUUAACUGAGAUGGGCAAAUAGAAACUAGCUCUGGGAAGGAACAUGUGCACUACUUCAAGAAAGAUUGGAAGCAUGUGUGGCUCAUGGGAAAUAACCAGGUCUUAAACAGCACAAACUGAAUUCGUGGACCAGGAAGGUCUUAAACAGCACAAACUGAAUUCAUGGAAAAAUGACAAAUUUGAGAAGUCUCCCAGUAAGCUGGAACUUUUCUGGUUUGGUUAACAAAAGGUUUCUUGAUUUGUUUCAAGAUUUAAAGCCAAAGGUGUGGGUUCAUGACUUAGGUGUCAUUGCGUGUGGGUACAAUAUUUAUAUAUGGCGAAUUCAGAUAAACAUUGGUCAAAGAUGGUCUCUGGAAAAACAAAAUAGAGGCUGCAUUACGGAAAUAAGAUUUCUGGUCUGUUCCCUGGGACAUGCUUAAAAAAUACAAUAGCUAUUAUGUAUGGUUUUUAUUUUCAUGUGGUUUCGGGGAAACAACACGGUUUUAAGGAUGGUUUCUAAAGAUGAAAUUAAAAAUUGUUCCACAAGGGUUAAGUGUCUGGUGGUAAAGUUGGGAGAAACUGGAUGGAUGCACAUCGCAUGGCUGGUGGCGAGCCCAUCUCUCUUCUCUCGGGUGAGAGAACCGGGCCAAGCUGAGUUGGUUUGUUCACUUUAAUGGGUCUCCGUUUCCCCUGCCACCUGUGCUGAGGACAUUUCCCAGCCUGAGCUGGGGGAGGCAGCAUUUGCUGAAGUGUGGAGUUGUCUCUGUGGAGACUCAAGUUACAGAUCUUAAGGGGCCUGCCUAGAAUUUUCUCCUCUGGGCAGGCGACCCAGGAAAGGGUUUGGAGUGAGGCUGUGAGCACUUACUUGAUAUUUUACAAGUUUGGAUUUGGUGUUAAUUUUUUUCCUUGUCCGUUUUUUCCUGUUGACUAACGGCUCAUCUUUUCCUUGUUUUUGUUUUUUUUUUGUUCUUUUUUUCCAUGUCACUAAAGGCCCUCGGGACCAAGGAUCACGUCAUGACUCCGAACAGGAUAAUUCAGACAACAACACCAUCUUUGUGCAAGGCCUGGGUGAGAAUGUUACAAUUGAGUCUGUGGCUGAUUACUUCAAGCAGAUUGGUAUUAUUAAGACAAACAAGAAAACGGGACAGCCCAUGAUUAAUUUGUACACAGACAGGGAAACUGGCAAGCUGAAGGGAGAGGCAACGGUCUCUUUUGAUGACCCACCUUCAGCUAAAGCAGCUAUUGACUGGUUUGAUGGUAAAGAAUUCUCCGGAAAUCCUAUCAAGGUCUCAUUUGCUACUCGCCGGGCAGACUUUAAUCGGGGUGGUGGCAAUGGUC
rnacentral:lncRNA from 1 species